AUACUCAUAAUUUAUUUCAUGUGCCAUGAAAUUUCUUUCAAGUUGAGUUGACUUGUAUAAAUUUACUUAAGAGAAAAUCAAGCGUGAUAAUGGAGGUUUUAAUUUACUUGAUGCACGUGGUCCCUUUCACGAGAGAUUUGUGUAUAUACGUAAACUACCUGGCGUUUUCCUACGUGGGACUGCAUUUGAUUCGCCAUUUCUAUGAUCACUUCAAUCAGAACAAUGACGAGAUGUAAUCUUUACCGAAAAUACAAGCACAAAUCACCAGCUUCGAGCCACGCUGACGCUCAAGUCUCUGUUGCAAAAAACCAGCAAACAGCCGUACACAAUGGCAUUGCCAAUCAAAGACAUUGAACACAAUACCGAAUCCUGUAAAAUAAAUCAUCACACAAUCACUCUUAUUAAUAGGAAAAUUAAGUUAUAAUAAUAAUAAUACAA